UAAUACCGGAUGCUCCGCUCCAUCGCAUGGUGGGGUGGGAAAUGCUUUUGCGGCAUGGGAUGGGGUCGCGUCCUAUCAGCUUGUUGGCGGGGUGAUGGCCCACCAAGGCGUUGACGGGUAGCCGGCCUGAGAGGGUGACCGGCCACAUUGGGACUGAGAUACGGCCCAGACUCCUACGGGAGGCAGCAGUGGGGAAUAUUGCACAAUGGGCGCAAGCCUGAUGCAGCGACGCCGCGUGCGGGAUGGAGGCCUUCGGGUUGUAAACCGCUUUUGUUCAAGGGCAAGGCACGGUUUCGGCCGUGUUGAGUGGAUUGUUCGAAUAAGCACCGGCUAACUACGUGCCAGCAGCCGCGGUAAUACGUAGGGUGCGAGCGUUAUCCGGAUUUAUUGGGCGUAAAGGGCUCGUAGGCGGUUCGUCGCGUCCGGUGUGAAAGUCCAUCGCCUAACGGUGGAUCUGCGCCGGGUACGGGCGGGCUGGAGUGCGGUAGGGGAGACUGGAAUUCCCGGUGUAACGGUGGAAUGUGUAGAUAUCGAAAAAGAACAC
rnacentral:rRNA from 1 species